GAUGAAGAACGUAGCGAAAUGCGAUAAGUAAUGUGAAUUGCAGAAUUCCGUGAAUCAUCGAAUCUUUGAACGCACAUUGCGCCCGCUGGUAUUCCGGCGGGCAUGCCUGUUCGAGCGUCAUUUCAACCCUCAAGCCCCCGGGUUUGGUGUUGGGGAUCGGCUCUGCCUUCUGGCGGUGCCGCCCCCGAAAUACAUUGGCGGUCUCGCUGCAGCCUCCAUUGCGUAGUAGCUAACACCUCGCAACUGGAACGCGGCGCGGCCAUGCCGUAAAACCCCAACUUCUGAAUGUUGACCUCGGAUCAGGUAGGAAUACCCGCUGAACUUAAGCAUAUCAAUAAGCGGAGGA
rnacentral:misc_RNA from 1 species